rnacentral:lncRNA from 1 species
GAGAACAGAGGAGUUGGUUCUGAUGUCACGAGAUGAAGCCCACUUGUUGUUAGAUUUAUUGUUAUUGAGUUGUUAUUUUUUACCAGCUGUCAUAACAGCCUGUCUCCAUCUAUUUUGAACACUAUAUAUAUAUUAAAUCUCUCUCUCUUGUUACUUUAACAAUAGAGAGCAGAGUUUUCAGCUUCAGCUUUUCUAUCUUGGUAUCAGAGCUAACAUUCAAGGUUUGAAUUUUUUCUUCUCUUUCUCACUUUCUCUCUGUUUCUCUCGAUCCAAACAUGGCCUCUACUCCGACACAGUCUUCUUCUUCCUCUGGUUCGAUUGGAUCUGGACAAAGCUCAACAAUGGCGUCCAUUCCUUCCUAUCAGAUGCUUAAUCACACUCUGCCUGUGAAACUUGAUCGGACGAAUUACAUCCUAUGGAGAUCUCAGAUUGAUAAUGUCAUUUUUGCUAAUGGCUUUGAGGAUUUCAUUGAUGGAACCUCUAUCUGUCCGGAGAAAGAUCUGAGUCCAGGAGUGAUGAAUCCAGCUUUUGUUGCUUGGAGGAGACAAGAUCGAACAAUCCUUAGUUGGAUCUACUCGUCGCUCACACCAGGUAUCAUGGCACAGAUCAUAGGCCAUAAUACUUCUCACUCUGCUUGGAAUGCCUUGGAAAGUAUUUUUUCAUCUUCUUCAAGAGCUAGGAUAAUGCAACUCAGACUCGAAUUACAAUCCACAAAGAAAGGAUCAAUGUCGAUGAUAGACUACAUAAUGAAGAUCAAAGGAGCUGCUGAUAAUCUAACUGCUAUUGGAGAACCUGUCUCAGAACAAGAUCAGGUUAUGAAUCUUCUUGGAGGUCUUGGAUCCGAUUAUAAUGCUGUUGUUACUGCUAUCAACAUUAGAGAUGAUAAGAUCUCUCUUGAAGCUAUACAUAGUAUGCUAUUAGCCUUUGAGCAUCGUCUUGAGCAACAAAGCUCGAUUGAACAAAUGUCUGCCAAUUAUGCCUCUUCCUCUAAUAACAGAGGUGGUGGAAGGAAGUUUAAUGGAGGUCGUGGACAAGGCUACUCUCCAAAUAACAAUAAUUACACCUAUAGAGGUCGUGGACGUGGAGGUAGAAAUGGACAAGGUGGAAGGCAAAAUUCCAGUCCAAGUGAGAAACCUCAGUGUCAGUUAUGUGGUAAGUUUGGCCACACUGCUCAGAUCUGUUAUCACAGGUUUGAUAUCUCUUUUCAAGGAGGUCAGACUACUAUUUCUCAUUCUUUGAAUAAUGGGAAUCAAAACAAUAUACCUGCUAUGGUUGCUUCUGCUUCUAAUAAUCCUGCAGAUGAAAGUUGGUAUUUGGAUUCUGGAGCAAGUCACCAUCUGACUCAGAAUUUGGGGAAUCUCACCAGUACUUCACCAUACACGGGAACAGAUAAAGUCACUAUUGGUAAUGGUAAGCAUCUCUCCAUCUCCAAUAUUGGCUCUAAACAACUUCAUUCUCAUACACAUUCUUUUCGACUCAAGAAGGUGUUUCAUGUUCCCUUUAUCUCAGCUAAUUUGAUUAGUGUGGCUAAGUUCUGCUCAGAAAAUAAUGCCUUGAUUGAGUUUCAUUCUAAUGCUUUCUUUGUGAAGGAUCUACACACGAAGAUGGUUCUUGCUCAAGGCAAGCUUGAAAAUGGCCUUUACAAGUUUCCUGUGUUCAGCAAUCUGAAACCUUAUAGUAGUAUUAAUAAUGCUUCUGCUUUCCAUUCCCAAUUUUCGAGUACUGUUGAAAAUAAAGCAGAGUUAUGGCACAAUAGACUAGGCCAUGCUAGUUUUGACAUUGUUUCAAAAGUCAUGAAUACUUGUAAUGUUGCUUCUGGGAAAUAUAAAUCCUUUGUUUGUUCUGAUUGUCAGUUAGCUAAAAGUCAUAGACUACCCACUCAGCUCUCAAAUUUUCAUGCAUCUAAACCUUUAGAACUUGUUUAUACUGAUAUUUGGGGACCUGCCUCAAUUAAAUCUACAUCUGGAGCGAGAUAUUUCAUUCUUUUUGUAGAUGAUUAUUCCAGGUAUACUUGGUUUUAUUCAUUACAAACAAAGGAUCAGGCUCUUCCCAUCUUUAAGCGAUUCAAGCUUCAAAUGGAGAAUCAGUUUGACACCAAAAUUAAGUGCUUACAGUCUGAUAAUGGUGGAGAAUUUCGAUCUUUUACGUCUUUUCUUCAAGCAGUUGGUAUUGCCCAUCGAUUUUCCUGUCCAUACAACUCAGCUCAAAAUGGUAGAGUUGAGCGGAAGCACCGACACGUAGUUGAAACUGGGUUGGCUUUGUUAUCUCAUGCUUCCUUGCCAAUGAAGUACUGGCACUAUGCUUUUCAGACAGCAACUUUUCUUAUCAAUCGAAUGCCAAGCAAAGUUCUCGAGUAUGACUCUCCUUACUUCACUCUUUUUAGAAGGCAUCCUGACUAUAAAUCUUUUCGUGUAUUUGGCUGCCUUUGUUAUCCUUUCAUUCGGCCAUACAACACUCAUAAAUUGCAGUACAGAUCUGUCCAAUGUCUUUUUCUUGGCUAUAGUUUGAAUCACAAGGGGUUUUUAUGUCUUGAUUAUGCAACUGGAAGAGUCUAUAUUACUCCCCACGUGGUCUUUGAUGAAUCAACUUUCCCACUUGCUCAGUCCAAGUCUUCCAGUUCGUCUAAUGACACUUCAGCAGAAGGCUCUACCCCUGCCCUUAUAACUCCUCCUUCUUUUCCAUGUCUUCUCCCAGAUUCAAAAAUCAGUCAUGUUUCCAUAGAUUCUCAUUCUCUAUCCACAAGUGAAAGUCCUAUUCCUACAACCUCUUCUUCACCUCUGGACACAUCUAGUUCUUCUCCUGCUAUAGAUUUAUCACCUAAAUCUGUUCCAGAACCUCAAAUCACUGCUCUUUCUCCACGAAUGACAACAAGGUCCAUGCGUGGUAUAACCAAGAAAAAGACCAUUCUUGAUCUCUCUGCCAUAAAGGUUUCAGAACCAUCUACUCUCAAACAAGCCUUCAAAGAUCCAAAUUGGACUAAAGCUAUGGAAAUGGAGAUUGCUGCUCUUCAUAGAAACCAUACUUGGGAUCUUGUUGAACAACCACCCAAUGUCAAUGUGAUUGGCUGUAAGUGGGUGUAUAAACUGAAACAUAAGCCAGAUGGGAGUAUAGAGAGGUAUAAAGCUAGGCUUGUGGCAAAAGGAUAUAAUCAGACUCAUGGUCUGGACUAUUUUGAGACGUUUAGUCCAGUAGUUAAGGCUGCCACUAUUCGCAUCAUACUUACUGUUGCUCUCAGUUUUAAGUGGGAAAUUCGACAGCUUGAUGUUCACAAUGCCUUCCUCAAUGGUGAGCUAGAAGAACAAGUCUAUAUGUCUCAACCUCCUGGAUACUUUGACCCUCAAUUCCCGAAUAGAGUGUGCAGAUUGAAGAAGGCUUUAUAUGGCUUAAAACAAGCCCCACGUGCUUGGUUUCAAAGACUCAGCUCUGCUCUUCUUCAGUGGGGAUUCAGCAUGUCUCGGACUGAUAGUUCUAUGUUUCUGCACUUUGGAAAGGCCACUACUUUGAUAGUUCUUGUCUAUGUUGAUGAUAUCCUUGUAACGGGCAGCUCCUCCACACAGAUUUCGUCUCUCAUAGCUAAACUUGAUUCAGUUUUUGCCUUACGAGAUUUGGGUCAACUCUCAUUCUUUCUCGGUAUAGAGGUUUCUUACAAUGAAGGCUCUAUGACUUUGAGCCAAACCAAAUACAUUUCAGAUCUUCUUCAUAGAACUGAACUGUUUGAUACCAAACCGGCAAACACACCUGGUGCUGUUGGGAAGAACUUGUCUAAAUUUGAUGGAGAUCCUAUGACAGAUGUUACCCAUUAUCGAAGUGUAGUAGGGGCACUUCAGUAUGUUACCUUGACAAGACCUGAUAUAGCCUUUGCUGUCAAUAAGGCAUGCCAAUUUAUGCAACAACCAACCACAGCUCACUGGCUCUCAGUCAAACGAAUACUUCGGUAUCUAAGAGGAACAAUGCAAGAUGGGCUCCUGUUCAGUCCUUCAAGUAACUUGACAAUAGAGGGAUUCACAGAUGCAGAUUGGGGUGCUCACCUUGAUGAUAGGCGCAGCUCAAGUGGAUAUCUAGUUUAUCUAGGAGGUAACUUAGUCUCUUGGUCCUCUACCAAACAAAAAGUGGUGUCUCGCAGUAGUGCCGAGUCUGAGUAUCGUGGUCUUGUUUUCGCUACUGCUGAGAUUGUUUGGAUGCAAGCCUUACUGCAAGAGCUAUGUGUGCCAAUACCUGCUAUACCUCUACUUUGGUAUGAUAAUAUCAGUGCUUACCAUAUGGCAAAGAACCCUGUGUUUCAUGCUAGAACUAAACACAUAGAAAUAGACCUUCAUUUUAUACGAGAUCAAGUCAUGAGAGGAAAGAUACAACUGCAAUUUGUUCCCACUGAAGAGCAGCCAGCAGAUUUAUUGACUAAGCAUCUCACAAGUUCAAGGUUCUUGUCCCUCAAAUCUCAGCUUUGUAUAGCUCCAAGACCCUUUCACUUGAGGGGGGAUGAUAAGCCAAGAACAGAGGAGAACAGAGGAGUUGGUUCUGAUGUCACGAGAUGAAGCCCACUUGUUGUUAGAUUUAUUGUUAUUGAGUUGUUAUUUUUUACCAGCUGUCAUAACAGCCUGUCUCCAUCUAUUUUGAACACUAUAUAUAUAUUAAAUCUCUCUCUCUUGUUACUUUAACAAUAGAGAGCAGAGUUUUCAGCUUCAGCUUUUCUAUCUAAAACCCUGGAUCGUGUGCUCAGAAGCUUCAAGAGCUCUUGAUGGACAGCUCCUCUUGGAUCAGAUAGAGAUGAUAUGGGAGGAAGAGGCA